GUUUUAAUAUGUCAAGUUUCAAUUUUGCCGCGGCCAACCUUAACUAUGUUUAUACAUGAACCAAUGGAUUAAUUCACUAGCUCUAUAUUCCAUAAUUACAAGAAAUUAUCCAUUUACCUCCAACUUUCUUGUAAAAGACUAUAGUACUUGUAUUAACUAAUUGAUGCUAAAACCCUAACAAGACAACUAAUUAGCUUUAGCACUCCAACAAAUUUAAAAUUA
rnacentral:misc_RNA from 1 species